GACAGAGGAUGCAAGCGUUAUCCGGAAUGAUUGGGCGUAAAGCGUCUGUAGGUGGCUUUUUAAGUCCGCCGUCAAAUCCCAGGGCUCAACCCUGGACAGGCGGUGGAAACUACCAAGCUGGAGUACGGUAGGGGCAGAGGGAAUUUCCGGUGGAGCGGUGAAAUGCGUAGAGAUCGGAAAGAACACCAACGGCGAAAGGCACCUGUCGACUGGGCCGACACUGACAUAGAGAGAACGAAGACU
rnacentral:rRNA from 1 species